rnacentral:piRNA from 1 species
UCGAAUUUUGUUUCUCUUCUGUGUUAGGUA